UACAGAGGAGCCAAGCGUUGUCCGGAUUGACUGGGCGUAAAGCGCACGCAGGCGGCACCGCGCGUGGGGUGUGAAAUCUGGCCGCUUAACGGCCAGGCGCCAUCCCAUACGGCGGAGCUGGAGUGAUGCAGAGGUCGAUGGAAUUGCCGGUGUAGUGGUGAAAUGCGUAGAGAUCGGCAGGAACACCCAGGGGGAAACCAGCUCGACUGGGCAUCUACUGACGCUGAGGUGCGAGAGCGUGGGGAGCGAACCGG
rnacentral:rRNA from 1 species